rnacentral:lncRNA from 10 species
GGCUGGGGUGCUGCGAAGGCAACCCAGGGAGGGCGCCCGAGCCCCGCCCAGGCCAGGCCCCAGGCUCUCCCGUGCUCCCGCCCCGCAGAGAGAGGCCGGAAGCGGCCCCGGAGGGCCCAUUGUCCGCGCUUCCGUUCCGGCUCCGCCUCGUCCUCCCGCGGCCAGAGGUGCGACCUCUGAGCCCCUGGCCAGCUCCCAGCCGGCCUAGGGGGGCGGGGGCACGGGGCGGAGGUCCCGCAGCCCGUGCUCGUCCCGCCUCGCUUGGAGGGAGCAAGGGCUCCGAGCCCUGGGCCCAGGUCCUGUGCCUCCGCUUCCCCGGCUGCGGGUACACCCCCAGCUUCCCGAGCCCCCCGGGCCCUCGCUGCUCCACCCAGAAGUUGCGGUGACUGCGGCCCCAGCACCCCGUUCCCUGGCCGGGCAUCACUUGCGCAGCAUGCUGCCCCCAGAGGACAGGGCUACAGUUAGUCGCCCACACCUCAUUCACCCCCUUGGGCCCUUGAGCGUCUUAGAAGCCGCAGAUGCCAAGGAGGGGACGCUGCCUCGCGGAUGGUCACUUGGGAGCAAAGCUGGGGACUAAAGGAACCAGGGACAGAGAUUCCUGCUCUCGCCAAAUUGGCCGCUCUGGGCCAGGCACUGAGGACACACCGCGAAGCCGGAUAGCCAGGUCCUGUCCUCAGGGCCCUGUCCGGAAGAGGACUGGGCAGCCUCGAGUCCGCGGCAAUGAAUGAAUGUUCAAUUGCACAGAUGGGGAGGCGAAGGAGGGAGGGAGGGAGGGAGGGCAGUCGCUUGGGCGGUCAUUGGAGGCUCUGGGAGGCUAUGCGCCGGCAAGAAGCAGCGGGGUGGAGGCAGCCCUGCGGGAGUCGGCGAGGGCCGCGUGGAUGUGCUCGGUGGUUUUGAGGCCAGUGGCUGGAGGGGCGUGAGAGUGGGAGACCAGACUUGAGGGGAGUGGCUGGAGUUGAGACUCAAAUCCAAGAAGGAAACGGUGGGGCUUGGACCACUUGCCUACUGAGAAAAAUGGAAGUCGGGAAGGCUUUAGAUCUAGUCGCGCUUGGUCACUUCCGUCUCCGGGCCUCAGCUUCCCAGGUUGUAGAAAGCAUCAGGGUUGGAGGCUCUGAAAUUCUGGCUCCUCUCAAGCCAAGAUUAGUAUGACUUCAUUUUGGUUGUGCAAGAAAUGGGCCUGCAGCGGUUCGCAGAGGCAGAGGGACCUAAGCUUGAAGGGCAAUCAAACCGGCGUAGGCAGGAACGUCGGGAGCCCAGACCCCAGGCAGGGAGUUUAAGGUCUUGGACACAGAGGGUGCGCUCCUCGAAGCAGCCACAAAGCGGUGACAGAGACCAGGCUUACGUUUUGUUUUGAAAUAAUUUCAAAGUAACAGAAAAGCCGUGAGAAUAGUUCCGAGAACUGCCUCCCUUAUUAAUGCAGAUUCACCAAGCUUUAACAUUCUGCUCCCCAGCCCUUGCAUAUUCAAGCCCCCAUUGCAAGCAUCGGAGAGUAAGUUGCAGGCGCGAUGGCCCUUGAACCCUAAGUCCUCCAAUGUGUAUUGCCCAAGAACAAGGACAUUCUAUUGCACAACCCCAGUGGUUUUCAAGAUCGAGUGAUUUAACCAUAAUACAAUAAUUUAAUCUGCACAACCUUACUCAAAUAUCACCAAAUGUCGCAACGAGGUCUUUUAUAGCACAUCCCCUUCCCAUCCCCAGGCGUGAGCCACUGCGACCGGCCAGGAUCACAUUUAGUUGUUCACCUUUUUCAUUUUGUUAUUUUAUUUCGUUUGUUUGUUUUGAGACAGGGGCUUGCUGUGUCAUCCAGGCUGGAGUGCAGUGGCACCAGCAUGGCUCACUGCAGCCUUGAAUUUUUGGGCUCAAGGGAUCCUCUCCCCUCAGUCUGCAGAGUAGCUGGGACUAUGCAUGCCAACACACCAGGCUUGUUCACCUUUAUUUUAAUUGCAACUUAUUCACCAAGCUUACUUUGGCUGAAGUAAUUUGAAAAAGAUGGGUGCAAAGGGUUCUAGCCUCAUCCUUCAUAACUGCAUGACCCCGGGCAGGGCCCGAGUCCUCUCCAGUGAGAAGUGCCAGGAUCUGGGCAGGGCACAUGGAGGAGCUGGAGCGGGCAGAGGAUGCACUUGCAUUCUGAGAUGGAGCCAUUCUUCCGUCCUCCCUGGCCUGGCCCAUUUCCCCAGGCUCUUGGCGAAGGGGUACCUCCUGAUUCACCCACCACAGUCUUCGAAUGGGGCAUCCAAGACUCCCCAAAAGGCACCAACUCCUUGAGAAGGCAGCUUUGGGGAACAUACUCCCCAUCCUGAGACAGACAAAAGGCCAGUUAGAAGAAUUGCUUUAGGUCUGGAAAGGAAGAGGAGCUUGAAGGACUCCGGAGACUGGAGAUAAACCCUUCUGAGAGUCAGGAGGUUUUCAUUUUAUAUUUGCAAUAAAAUUGGGGGAUAAUCCAACCAACUUGUCAACUAAUAGAGGUUAAAAAUAAUUUCUUUAACUUUUACUAUGGAAAAUGUAAACACAGGCAAAAGUAGAGAGACCUCUACAAUGAACCUUUACUUACCCAUUACCCAGUGGUAACAAAAAUAAUUCUUAAUGAUGGAUUACUAUGGAUUUUGGGCAGAAAAUUCAAAGGAAUAAUUGUGUUGCAUUGCUCCAGUACUCCCUCCUUUCCCUUUGCUUAUUUAUGUGACAAGACUUCUCAGUGCUUACCUCUAUAAAAAUGAGAAAUUGGAAGAGACGAUGCCGACCAUUGACUCAUCACAGAAAUAAAGAAUGUUUAUCCACUGGUGCACUAAAUGAGGUUUGGGUAGUAGCGCAACAAUCAAUGUAUAAGAAAUACAUUGCUAACAACAUUUUACUUUGUUUAAUAAGUAUCUAUCAACACUUGUAGGCCGGGUGCAGUGGCUCACCCCUGUAAUCCCAGCACUUCAGAAGGCCAAGGCAGGAGGAUCACUUGAGCUUAGGAGUAGAGACCAGCCUCAGCAACAUGGUGAAACCCCAUCUCUACAAAAAAUUAGCCGGGCAUAGUGGCGCGUGUCUGAAGUCCCAGCUACUGGAGAGGCUGAGGCAGGAGGAUCACUUGAGACUGGGAGGUCAAGGAUGCAGUGAGCUGUGAUAGUGCCAUUGCACUCCAGCUGGGGCAACAGAGCGAGACCUUGUCUCAAAAAUAAUUGUAAUAAAUUUAUGUUUUGAUGAAUUGUAUGCUAAUGUUAUUUGUAAUAACUUACCAGAAUUUUUUUUAAGAGAUGGGGGUCUCACUGUCACCCAGGCUGGGGUGCAGUGGUGCAGUAAUGGCCCACUGCAGCCUCAAACCCCUGGCCUCAAACUAUCCUCCCAUGUCACAGGGACUACAGGUGCAAGCUGCCAUGCUUGGCAAUUUCUUUGAAACGUUUAGUGAUUGUAGUCACAGAAAAUGUGUGUUUUUCCAUUUUGGUUUACACGCAUAGUUUCUACUAUGGAGAAGUAGGAUGGUGUGACCAAUAAGAUACUUUCAGGCAUGAGAAUACAUCAUUGUAGGCUCAAAGUUUGUGGGGGCAGUGGAAUUGAAUACGAGUUUCU